UACGGGGGGUGCAAGCGUUAUUCGGAUUUACUGGGCGUAAAGGGCGCGUAGGCGGCCGUUUAAGUCAGAUGUGAAAGCCCGGGGCUCAACCCCGGAAGUGCAUUUGAUACUAUUCGGCUUGAGUAUGGGAGAGGGAAGUGGAAUUCCUGGUGUAGAGGUGAAAUUCGUAGAUAUCAGGAGGAACACCGGUGGCGAAGGCGACUUCCUGGACCAAUACUGACGCUGAGGCGCGAAGGCGUGGGGAGCAAACAGG
rnacentral:rRNA from 1 species